rnacentral:rRNA from 1 species
AACGCGAAGAACCUUACCAGGUCUUGACAUCCCUCUGAAUCUGCUAGAGAUAGCAGCGGCCUUCGGGACAGAGGAGACAGGUGGUGCAUGGUUGUCGUCAGCUCGUGUCGUGAGAUGUUGGGUUAAGUCCCGCAACGAGCGCAACCCUUGAAUUCAGUUGCCAGCACAUCAUGGUGGGCACUCUGAAUUGACUGCCGGUGACAAACCGGAGGAAGGCGGGGAUGACGUCAAAUCAUCAUGCCCCUUAUGACCUGGGCUACACACGUACUACAAUGGCCGGUACAACGGGCCGCGAAACCGCGAGGUGGAGCCAAUCCUAAAAAGCCGGUCUCAGUUCGGAUUGCAGGCUGCAACUCGCCUGCAUGAAGUCGGAAUUGCUAGUAAUCGCGGAUCAGCAUGCCGCGGUGAAUACGUUCCCGGGCCUUGUACACACCGUAGUAC